rnacentral:rRNA from 1 species
UACGAAGGGUGCAAGCGUUAAUCGGAAUUACUGGGCGUAAAGCGCGCGUAGGUGGUUCAGCAAGUUGGAUGUGAAAGCCCUGGGCUCAACCUGGGAACUGCCUUUGUGACUGCAUAGCUAGAGUACGGUAGAGGGGAUGGAAUUCCGCGUGUAGCAGUGAAAUGCGUAGAUAUUGGGAGGAACAUCGGUGGCGAAGGCGGCUCUCUGGACCGGUUCUGACGCUGAGGCGCGAAAGCGUGGGUAGCAAACAGGAUUAGAAACCCUUGUAGU